UCACAGUCGUGAGUGAGCGAGCACGUACGUCGACGUCGCGUGUUAUUUAGAGCUUUGUACAGACGCUCGGUCGACGUAACGUUAAGAAGUUCGAGCAGAGGUGUUUCACUCCGAGUUUUUCUCGUCGGGAUCAUCCUGAGCGGGAGUGUCGUGAGAUCGAUCAAGUAUUAAGCUUUGAGGCUCAGCAAGAGAUAAAGAGAAAGAAACAGGAACCAAGAAGCGCAUUAUCGUGCGCGUAGUGUUUUCCAAAGAAGAGGCUAAUGCGGUUUCGCGGAUGCGGCUUCGAGGAUGCUGUUCCGAGGACGCGAUUCGUACGGAUGCGGCACCGGAGGAUCCGGUUCGGGCCGGGCAGGCUUGCCUCGAGGAAUCUUGGUGAGUUGAAUAUGAGUAAACUUAGUAGGUUUGGUUAGUCACAGAUGACAAGAUGUUAGACGAUGGAUUUUUAUGAUGUUUCGUUCAAAUCAAUGUGAUUUAUACUGUAUAUAAAUUAUAUUGCAUGUUGGAUUUUUUGUAUGUACACAAUAAGAGAGAAUAUUAUAGGUUCUUUUUUAUAUAGAUUUUUCAAUUUUAGCAUGUUUUUUCUAAUAAUGACGGAAUUGACUAUGUUAGCAAAGUUUAUCUCUUGCUGAGGAAUAUAGUAAAGUUUUUUUGAUAACAAAAAUAUAUAAACAUUACAUCAUAUAAAAUAUAAAUAGCACAUAAUCUAAUAAAUAGUAAGUAAAAUAUAAAUAGUAGGAAAUGCAGUGUUGGUAUUAAUUUCGAUUAAAAUAAUAGUUGACUAAAAUAAUUAGCAAAUCAGUAAUUAGAAUUAAUCAGUCUUUAUAUAUAAAAUCACGAAUAAUUAAUUGAUGAAAUUAAUUAUUAAUCAAGCUUUGAUUUAAUAAAUUAUAGACUGAUUAAUAAUUAAUUUUAUCGAUUAAUUAAAUUAUUCGUAAUUAUAUAUAUAGUGAUUGAUUUAUUUUAAUUCUUGAGGCUUACUGAUUAUUUCAGUCAAUGAAACUUGAUCAAUUAAUACUAUUGGAGAAAUGAGACGAUAAUAAUUUAAGACAGAUAUGUUCCUUAAUUACAAAAUUGUAUAAUACAUUUUACUAUAAAAUUCUCUCUUUGUGUACGUGUUAAUGAAACACACUGCUCGAAAUAAUUGAGGGAUUAAUUAUUCAAAUGUGAUUUUCUCUCUGUUUAUAUAUUUCGAUUCAAUAAAUAUUUUCAUCGUGUCAUUAUUUGAUAUUACUUGAAUAUUAUGCAAUAUUUUGAUCUUAAUAUAUAAUUUUAGUUUCUGAUAAAUAUAUAUUUGCGCAAAUGUAACGUUUUAACUUCCUCUUGCAUUCAAUUCAAAUGCAUUCGUAGAAUUAUUCGACUGAACUAUUUAUUCAAUGCGGUUCCCUAAUUGUUUCGGGCAAUGUCCACAGCGUAUCGGAAUUGUGCCACUGCGCACGAAACUCGCGAUUACUUCGUGUUUACGUUGAUCGAUUUUAUGGUCGACACUCCCGUGGUUAUAAAUUUUUUUUAUACUCAUACGUACUUUUACGUCGUGAUUACAUUGUUAAAUAAAGACAUGCGUUAUAUUCAUCUUUACGUAUCGCACAAGAAAAACUUGGAUUUAAAAAGUCAGUAAUUUCAUACGCGAUCAUUAUGCUUGCGAGAUAAUUCCAGAUACGUUAAUUUCGCGAUUGUUGUGUUAAUUUGCAAGCCGAUUUUAAGUUCGCGAUUUUUCACCCGCGAUUUAGGUUUCCGGUAUACGUAAUUUGCUCUUCGACUAGCGAUUUUGUACACAUGAUUUACUGUUCGACUUGCGAUCCUCUAUUCGCAAUUCGGGAAUAUUCGCAACCGCCGAAAGUGCCGAAUUCGUGCGUAUUGCGACAAGCACAACGAAUUCGCGGAUUCCGACUUCAUCUUCGACACGUCGAAGCUGCAGAUCUCGCGUUCAGAGAUGAAUGAAAAUUCGUUAAUUGUUUACACGCCGUUAAAACAUAAAUAUUAAUCACGUCGCGAGUGCCCUAUA